AGAGAGAGACAUGCGCGCAUAUCAAUAAGCGGAGGAAAAGAAACUAACAAGGAUUCCCUUAGUAACGGCGAGUGAAGCGGGAAGAGCUCAAAUUUGAAAUCUUCAAGGUUCUACCUUGACGAAUUGUAGUUUAUAGAAGUGUUUUCUGUUAGUGGAGUGGCAAAAGUUCUUUGGAAUAGGACAUCAUAGAGGGUGAGAAUCCCGUAUUUGGUCAUUCCUCCUAGCGUUGUGAUACACUUUCAAAGAGUCGGAUUGUUUGGGAAUGCAGUCCAAAAUGGGUGGUAAAUUUCAUCUAAAGCUAAAUAUUGGCGAGAGACCGAUAGCGAACAAGUACCGUGAGGGAAAGAUGAAAGGAACUUUGAAAAGAGAGUUAAACAGUACGUGAAAUUGUCAAAAGGGAAGCGUUUGACACCAGUGUUGUUUUUCCGAAAAUCAAUUACGAAUGUUUUAUUUUUGAGGAGUUAUGACUUCAUCGGCUUGCUCCUUUCUUUAUGAAACUUUCUUAAUGCACUUUUCGGUUAACAAGUCAACAUCAAUUUCUUUUGUUGUAAAAAGGGUAUGAGGAAGGUAGCUUUCUUUUCGGAGAAAGUGUUUAUAGCCUUGUGCCUCUGCAAUCGGAGAGAUUGAGGUCUGCAGCGUAGAUCCUUCGGGGUUAGAUACAUUUGUGCUAAGUUAUAGCUUUUCAUAGACAACUUGUUGACUAUGUUUAGUCUUGUAGCUUACUCGCUGACGCUAUUUUACCUACGCUUAGGAUGUUGAUAGUCACAGCGUGUAC
rnacentral:rRNA from 1 species